rnacentral:rRNA from 1 species
GAUGAACGCUGGCGGCGUGCCUAAUACAUGCAAGUCGAGCGAACGGACGAGAAGCUUGCUUCUCUGAUGUUAGCGGCGGACGGGUGAGUAACACGUGGAUAACCUACCUAUAAGACUGGGAUAACUUCGGGAAACCGGAGCUAAUACCGGAUAAUAUUUUGAACCGCAUGGUUCAAAAGUGAAAGACGGUCUUGCUGUCACUUAUAGAUGGAUCCGCGCUGCAUUAGCUAGUUGGUAAGGUAACGGCUUACCAAGGCAACGAUGCAUAGCCGACCUGAGAGGGUGAGCGGCCACACAGGAACUGAGACACGGUCCAGACUCCUACGGGAGGCAGCAGGAGGGAAUCUUCCGCAAUGGGCGAAAGCCUGACGGAGCAACGCCGCGUGAGUGAUGAAGGUCUGCGGAUCGUAAAACUCUGUUAUUAGGGAAGAACAUAUGUGUAAGCAACUGUGCACAUCUUGACGGUACCUAAUCAGAAAGCCACGGCGAACUACGU